rnacentral:rRNA from 1 species
UGGGGAAUAUUGGACAAUGGAGGAAACUCUGAUCCAGCAAUUCUGUGUGUGUGAAGAAGGUUUUAGGACUGUAAAACACUUUUAGUAGGGAAGAAAAAAAUGACGGUACCUACAGAAGAAGCAACGGCUAAAUACGUGCCAGCAGCCGCGGUAAUACGUAUGUUGCGAGCGUUAUCCGGAAUUAUUGGGCGUAAAGCGCGCGCAGGUGGUUUAGAAAGUCUGAUGUGAAAGCCCACGGCUCAACCGUGGAGGGUCAUUGGAAACUAAUAAACUUGAGUGCAGGAGAGAAAAGUGGAAUUCCUAGUGUAGCGGUGAAAUGCGUAGAGAUUAGGAGGAACACCGGUGGCGAAAGCGGCUUUUUGGCCUGCAACUGACACUGAGGCGCGAAAGCGUGGGGAGCAAACAGG